AACGAACGCUGGCGGCAUGCCUAACACAUGCAAGUCGAACGAGACCUUCGGGUCUAGUGGCGCACGGGUGCGUAACGCGUGGGAAUCUGCCCUUGGGUCUGGAAUAACAGUUAGAAAUGACUGCUAAUACCGGAUGAUGACUUCGGUCCAAAGAUUUAUCGCCCAGGGAUGAGCCCGCGUCGGAUUAGCUAGUUGGUGAGGUAAAAGCUCACCAAGGCGACGAUCCGUAGCUGGUCUGAGAGGAUGAUCAGCCACACUGGGACUGAGACACGGCCCAGACUCCUACGGGAGGCAGCAGUGGGGAAUAUUGGACAAUGGGCGGAAGCCUGAUCCAGCAAUGCCGCGUGAGUGAUGAAGGCCUUAGGGUUGUAAAGCUCUUUUACCCGGGAUGAUAAUGACAGUACCGGGAGAAUAAGCCCCGGCUAACUCCGUGCCAGCCGCCGCGGUAAUAC
rnacentral:rRNA from 1 species